rnacentral:rRNA from 1 species
CUACGCACUCCUACGGGAGCAGCAGUGGGGAAUAUUGCACAAUGGGCGCAAGCCUGAUGCAGCCAUGCCGCGUGUAUGAAGAAGGCCUUCGGGUUGUAAAGUACUUUCAGCAGUGAGGAAGGUGGGUAUGUUAAUAGCAUAUUCAUUUGACGUUAGCUGCAGAAGAAGCACCGGCUAAACUCCGUGCCAGCAGCCGCGGUAAUACGGAGGGUGCGAGCGUUAAUCGGAAUUACUGGGCGUAAAGCGCAUGCAGGUGGUUUGUUAAGUCAGAUGUGAAAGCCCGGGGCUCAACCUCGGAAUUGCAUUUGAAACUGGCAAACUAGAGUACUGUAGAGGGGGUAGAAUUUCAGGUGUAGCGGUGAAAUGCGUAGAGAUCUGAAGGAAUACCGGUGGCGAAGGCGGCCCCCUGGACAGAUACUGACACUCAGAUGAGAAAGCGUGGGGAGCAAACAGGAUUAGAUACCCUGGUAG